rnacentral:lncRNA from 1 species
GAAAAACAGGACGAUGUUUAUUUUAAGGUAGGCACUGGCUCAGUGGAUUCACAUCCAAAAAGCUGAGCAUUGAACAAAGACUGAGCAGGAUUUUUAUAAGCAGGCUUACAGAAGCAAAACAGGCAGUUAAUCAUAUAAUGACAGGUCACAUAAUCUAUAGCAUAACUGAUGACUUGGCAUAACUUGUGGCUUUGCAUAGCUGGUGGCCUUGUAGCUGCGUGCAAAGAAAAAACAAGAACUGGCUAAAUACAGACAGACAUUUGUCCUUUUUUUUUUCCUUCACCCUUGCUCCAGACGGGGGAUGUCUGGAGCCUAUUCCUUUGGUUUCGACUUCUCGAAGAGCAUUAUCUUAUAAUUGUCUUUGAAGUGAGCUUGCUAGGCAGAGAAAAACUUGUUCUUACUUUCUUUUUAACCUUUGCCUUGCCACAUUCUGGGCCUUGGCUUUUACUUCUCAGACUAGGUCACUAUGACCUUCUUUUAGCCUUGUCUGUUACUUUUCUUGGAGUGAAUGAAUGUAGUACUCACUAUCUUUUUUUAAUUUCUGCCUCACAGCAACGGCUGCGGCCCAGGGCUGAAAAUGAGUGCUGCCAGAUAUUCUCACUUAUCUGGGGAUGGCAACCAACUCAAAUAUCUUUGCUUAGACCCAGAGCCUGAAUCAACCAAAAAAACUUCCAGCUGGGCGUGGUGCCUAAUGCCUGUAAUCCCAGCACUUUGGGACGCUGAGGCAGGCAGAUCAGCCAAGGCCAGGAGUUUGAGACCAGCCUGGCCAACAUGAUGAAACCCCGUCUCUACUAAAAAUAUAAAAACUAGCCGGGCGUAGUAGCAAGCGCCUGUAAUCCCAGCUACUUGGGAGGCUGAGGCAGGAGAAUUGCUUGAGCCUGGGAGGCAGAGGUUGCAGUGAGCCGAGAUGGUGCCUGGGCAACAAGAGUGAGACUCUGACAAAAUAACAACAACAACAACAAAAAUGGUUCCCCCAGUCCUUGAGGAAGUUUAAUUCAAACCUUUGCAGGAGGUGAGGGGAAAUAUUUAUAUUCUAGUCUUCUUCUAGGGCAACCAAAUACAGAGGGUGAACCAAAUCUUUUAAGUUUCCGCAUUAAAUCAGUUUCAUCUUUUGGAACCUGCCAAAAUGUCAUAAUCAUCACAACUAUUAUUAUCGUCAUCAUCACUGUUAUGAUUCCACCUUUGCACAGUUCUGAUUUUUUUUUUUAAGACAAGGUCUCACUCGGCCUCCCAAAAUGCUGAGAUUACAGCCUUGAGCCACUGCGCGAGGACUGAUCUUUAGAACAUGCUUUUAUUUUAGUCAAUUUAAAACUGAGACUUUUAAUUGAAAAUUGGCAGUUUAAAUUCAAUAGAAGACACACCACCACCAAAUCCCACUGCCUUGCAGAUGUUGGCUGAGUGUCCCUUCCCACUCAACAAAGGCUCACUGCCGCGCCCACCUCACUCCCAGCACUGCCUGCUGACAUGAGCCACUCCCUGGGCACGGGGUUCCCAAAACAUGAGAGUAUCCCUGCCAAGCUGUUUCCUCCCAAAUUAUUUUCUGCCCUCCCUGUCAAGCCCUCCCCCACCUCCAACUCCUAUCCCCAGCCAGAGACCAGCAGGUGAAACUCUCCUGUGCUAACCCUUGUCCGGGAUAUAAGAAGAGGUGUUGGCCGGUUGGUUUUCUGAGUCACAAAAUCAUACCAGAGUUUUCAGAGUCCAGUAUACACUGCAGAGCACAUACCAAGAACACUCCACCAGCACCCUCCAAUCAAGGGACAGGCUUCCCUUAUCCUUCUGGAAAUAUUCUUGGAUUCUCCCUCAGAACCCCCAGGCAGCUCUCCAAGGCUCUAUAUACCCCAUACUAUUUGUUUAUGUACUUGUUUACUCCUUUUGCAACUCAAGCCAGUCCUGCUGCCUUUUCAUGCCCAAGCAGCAUCUGUCCC